UGAACGCUGGCGGCAGGCCUAACACAUGCAAGUCGAGCGGGGUUUUCGGACCUAGCGGCGCACGGGUGAGUAAUGCGUAGGAAGCUACCCGAUAGAGGGGGAUACCAGUUGGAAACGACUGUUAAUACCGCAUAAUGUCUACGGACCAAAGUGUGGGACCUUCGGGCCACAUGCUAUCGGAUGCGCCUACGUGGGAUUAGCUAGUUGGUGAGGUAAUGGCUCACCAAGGCGACGAUCUCUAGCUGGUUUGAGAGGAUGAUCAGCCACACUGGAACUGAGACACGGUCCAGACUCCUACGGGAGGCAGCAGUGGGGAAUAUUGGACAAUGGGCGCAAGCCUGAUCCAGCCAUGCCGCGUGUGUGAAGAAGGCC
rnacentral:rRNA from 1 species